GUGAAAGAAGUGAGGAAGCCACGAUAGGAGGCUGGGGAGACCUCGGCGGAGUAGACAGGGCCAAUCAUGAGGGCGUAGCCGAUGCCUAUGCCGGCCACGAAACGGCCGAACAUCAGAAAGGCAUAGUUGGGAGAGAAACCCAUGAGAAUUGCCCCGGCGAAGAAGAUGGUGCCGGCGAAGACAAUGGUGUAUCGGCGGCCUAUCCAGUCGGAGGUUCUGCCGGCCAAGCAUGAGCCUAUGAGAGAGUAGAGGUUGAUGAUUCCCAAGAGUAUCUCUAUUUGCACAUCCGACACCUUUAGGUCCUUCUUUAUGUAUAUGGCUGCACCGGUCAUCACCCCAAUAUCUAUAACAAUAACAACAUCCAUCGUGACUACACAUACACCACAAUCUACACAUUCCAUGUUUUUCAUAAUCAAAGAUGGAUGGUUUAAUGUUUUAGAUGCGAUUGUUGAAAAGCUUAAAACUUUUAGAUCGCAGAGAAGUAAAUUGGAAUGAAUAUAGUUAACAAGACUGACCAUAACCAAGUAGAAUGCAUGUAGUGGAGGCCAAUAUAGCGCAGCCAAAAGCAUAGAAGUUUGUUUUGGGCUUCUUGGGAGGAUCGAAAUCAUCAAGAGUUUCAACUCCCUUUCCCUCUGCCAUGUUGUUUGAAGGGAAAAUGUGAGAGGAAAAGAGGGAGAUGAGAGAAAAGCGUGUUAAAAUGGUAACAUGUAUUUAAUUUUUGGGUGUUAUAUGUGAAGUGUGAGGAGAGAAAUUAAGGAGUAUAGUGAAGUUGCAUUGCAGGAAGUGCUUAAAUAGACCAAAUUGGAGUGCCACAUUGUGGGAGUAAAAUCCCCAACACUCUCUCCUACCUAAACAAAUAGUUGUCACUUUGUGUGCCACAUAUUUUUGUUUUCUUUAUCAAAAUCAAUUUAAUAUAUGUGCUCGAUAAGUACACCCCAAUAACAAUGUCUACCGUGAUAAGGAUAAUAAUAUUGAUUCGAUGGUCGGUCGAGUUAUCAUUAAUACUAAUACAAUUUGUUUUUUAAGCCGUUCGGUUUUAUUUCUAGGAGUCUUGUUUUGACGAAUAUCACUCGAUCUUGUUUUGAGAUCCUUCCUUUGAAUGAAUUUUAUCGGAUACCUGUUAAAGAUCCUUCAACGUUCAAGUUAGCACAUAACAAUAAUAAAUACACAAUGAAGAAGGAAAAAGAAUUUCUUAUAUCUUACCUUUUAUCUGUAUUUAUAACUUUUUGGUAUGGACUUGUGAUUAGCGAUUUCUUAAUCUCAAUCCAAUCACUAUCAUUAAUCAUUAUUUACCUUAAUUCUCAUGGGAUUAAAUCUUAUGCCGACCGUGUAGACCAGCCGUCCUUCAUUCCUAGUAAGGAUUGACAGAUACUUUCCGUAUGGACUCAAAAUAAUUAUAAUCUUAGACGAUCAUCUGACUUGGCAUGUCUUAUGAGCCGUUGGUCUUCCCGGACACCCACCCGGUACAAAUACUAAUAAUUAUACGCGUGUGUAGAUAUUGUUAUUUUAUUUUCAAUUAUAUUUUAAGAAUUUAAUCGUUCGAAUGUUAUGAUUAGAGAUGUCCUAUUGUUAUUUGAUUAUGAUUGAAAACAUUAUUUUAUUCAAUGAAGAACUCUUCAUCGUGGUGUUUGUUUGAUGAAAAUAUAUCAUAAAACGGUAUGUAUUUUACAACACCUGGUUUGGUUAUGAUGGAGAUUUCAUUAGCUAUAUAAAGCAUGUGUAGGUAAAAACAUGUAUCAUUUUAUGAGCACACUGAGUUAUGCUUUUAGGCCCCAUUAUGAGAUGCUUGGGCUUUUCUCUUUUCUUUUUUCUUUCUAUUCCUUUUUAAUGCAUGUUUUUGGUGGGACUUACAUGGAUUUUCUUCCGUAACAUUUCUUGUAUGCUAAUUUGAAGUUUUUAUUGUUUUUAUGUCAAUCAUUUUAUUGUUUUUAGGCAUCAAUUUUCCAUUUCUUUUCGUUUUUUCAAACCAAAUUAAACUUUAGACUGGAAGAAGAUUUUUCAAGAAAUGUAAUCAUGAUAAUUAUAUGGAAAAUUAACCAAAAGUAAUGCUGAAGUUGAACGACUAAAUAUUAAGUAAACGUCUAAAUUUUAAUUUUUUAAAUUUGUAAUCAAAUUAAGUUCAAUUUUUAUGUUUGGUUUUGGAAACAAAUUUACUCAAAUGAUUUUAAAUUUAAUCGACUUAAUUUACAACCUUAAUAAAAUGAAAAAUUGUUUUCAAGGAAAUUCCUAAAUUACCAUAUAUGUCACUUUUGGUUUUCCGCUUCCCGGAUUAGUAUUAACUAUAGUUCAUAGUAUUUCUGUCACAUUAAAUAUUUUUUGGCUUAAUUAUUAUUUAAGUUUUCAAUAAAUUUCGAAACUUUCAUUUGAGUUUGUAAUAAAUUUAUACGAUUUCUUGAAUAUUCAAUAAAUUAAAAUUUCUCAAUCGGAGAAGACAUUUGAUAAAAAGGUUAUGGGAUUUGGAAUCAUAUGAAAUAUUCUAAAAAGGUUAAUCUUAUAAGGUAAAGUUGUUAAAAGCUUUCAAUUUUUACUAUGUUCACUAUCAUUGUCUUUAUUGUUCUUUUCUAAUGGGUAUUAUGUCUUUCAUUAUAAAAAGAUUAAAAUAGUCCGUUUUUAAUGAAAUUUUGUAUUUUUCAAUUUUUUUUAAGAUUUUACAUUAAUGAAUUUCACACUACAAUAUUUACCCUGAAGAUAUGAAUGAAAUGAGUUAUAAUUCGAUUUUAACAAAAUUUAACCGUACACAAUUUAAACAUACAAAAUUUAAUUCGUAUAAAUAUCAUUAUCCAUAAAUAUACUGGUUAACAUUCAUUUCAGACUUAAAGUAACCAAGCUAUUUUCCUCUUGUCCUUUCAAAAACUGAAACUAUAGAAACACAAUUUCUUGUAUAAAUAUAUUUUUAUUUAAAAAAUGCAUUUGUAAAUAUAAAAAGUACAUGUCUUAUUCAAUGAGUCUGGCUAUAACUUUUGCAUUUUUAAAAAAUAAAAAUUAGCUACGUAAAGAAAAAGCAAGUCAAGAGAAAUAUGUCAAUGCUAUAAAAAUACCCUUUUCAAAAAUAGUCAAAUGCUACUCAUAUUAGGAAAACUAGAGUCAUCAAAAUGGGUCACAACCAGCGAACCAACCUAGUUCACCACGGGUUCGGGCCGGAUUAGGUUUGAAAAAAUUGAUUUUUUUUAUAUAGGUCAGAUUUCAACCCGGCUCAUUUAAACUUGGCUCAUGCGGGUUGAACCCGUGGUGGGUCGGGUUGACCCGCCAACCCGCCUACCUAAUUUUAUUUUUUUAAUUUAUUAUUUUAUUUAGGGUUAAAUAUGUUUUUAGUUCCUAUACUUUGGAGCGAUUUUUGUUUUAGUCCCUCUUUCAAACUAAGGUACAAUUUAGUCCUUCAACUUUAGAAAACUCUGGUUUUAGUCCUUUGUACCAAAUUUUUUUAACUUUAUUUGUUGUUNCAAACGCGUUUCUCAGUUAACAUUGAAGCAAAAAUGUGUNAAACAGUNUAAANAAUCCAAAUGCUAUAAUGNAACGUGNUUGAAAGAGCAAAUAAAGUUAAAAAAAUUUGGUAAAAAGGACUAAAACCAGAGUUUUCUAAAGUUGAAGGACUAAAUUGUACCUUAGUUUGAAAGAGGAACUAAAACCAAAAUCGCCCCAAAAUAUAGGGACUAAAAACAUAUUUAACCCUUUUAUUUAUGAAACCCUAAAAUGUAAAAUAUUCUCUCUACUCAUUGUGUAUACCAAAAUAAUAACCUAUGCUCUCACAAAUCACUUCCACGGAACUUGCUCUCAUUUAUGGUGUUGUCAUUCAAGAGAAAAUAUUGUAGAUUUAUCUAUUCAAGAUUCUAAUAUUGUAAAUGGAUAAGGAACACAAAAAUGAUUAAUAUAAGAAACUUAUAUGUAUAUUUUUUGUGUUUGUUUUUGGAUGACAUUUGGAUUAUAUUGUAUUUUUUAUUAUUAUUUUGAAUUGUCUUCAGUUUAACAUCAUUUUUUCGAAGUGAAAUUUGUUUAAAUUUGAAUAUAGAAAGUUUGUAAAUUUUUCAUUUUAAAAAAAUUGUAAUUAAAUGGACUAAUGAGCCAACCCGUUUAUCCACCAACCCGUGGUGGGUCGAGUUGAGUUCGGAUUUUUCUACCUCGCUAAUAAAUGAGCCAGAUUGGAUUGGCUCGCUAAGUGACCAACCCAUGAUGGACCGCACCGGAUCGCGCUGGAUUACCCGUUUUGACAGCUCUACUUAAACUAUGAGUACAAAUAAGGAUAUAUAGUAUCUUGAAUGCUAUUCUUUAUUUAUAAUUAAAGUACAUCCUGAUAUUUUUUUUAUUAUUUUAUUAUAAUUAUUUAUUACACAAUAACAUUUCCAGUUUAAGUACUAAAUCUUAUAUAUUCUGUAUUACUUGUAAGACCAUAAAAUAUCAUAUUUAGAUGUUUUGAAAGCUGACAGAUAAAAGAAUUAUAAUGCACCUGUCAUUUGUUUAAACUUUAGUUAUUUCUAUAAGAAAGCCAAUUAUGGCUUGUAUUGUGAAAAUGAUAGAACUUAGAUAAGUUGAAAUUUGAAUCUCAUAUGUUAUUAUAGAGUUUUGAUAUCUGAGUCAGCAGACUCCAUACUGAAAACUUCCAUUACUUUUUUUUACCAAACAUCUCAUUGAGUUCAUGCUGUCUCCAUAACACAUCAGAUCUGAUGCUAAUGUGUGUGGCAAAAAAUAAAACACAACAAACCAAGGAAAGAAGUGGACAAAGGAAAAGGAAUCAAGUCGGUGUGUCACGUUUCCUAGUUUAGAUAAAUUAUGUUUAUGUUUCCGUCUGUUUCUAUAUAAUUACUGAAAUCUUUUCAAAUUUCAAAUUGCUUUAAAGGAAGAAUGUAAGAUGAGAUCACUAAUUUGUUUUUCUUUUAUAGGAAUGCAAGUUGUUUUAGUUUAAGAGAUCCAAUUUAAUUUUACUUUUCUAAAUAAUUUUCAAAUUUCAGAUUAAAGUUCUUCUUUUAUUUCCGCUUAAUCGAGGUUAAAGUUAAUAAAUAUUAAAUGUUAAUAUGCAAUCAAGGAUAAAUAAUUAUUUGAAUACCACAAACAUAUAUUUAUAGAUUUUAAAAUGAACUUUUGAUUAAAACUGAUCCCAUUGUAGCUCAAAUGAUAAUGAUCUAAUUUAGAAUUAAUACAAAUAUCUUUAACACUAAUUUUACUUUAGUCUUGAUCGAUUCAUAUAAAACCGUAGAUUAUUUGAUCGUCCAGUUCUUAGACUCACCAUACAUACUUAGUCAUUCAACCUAAAAAUCUAUAGAAAUAUUUAUAUAUAUAGCUUGAAAAUUUAAGAUAUAGUUAAGAAAUAAUAUUUUCUACGAGCUUAUCAAACUCAUCAAGAAGGUCAUGAAGCUCUUUUCUGAGCGGAGCAUUUUCAAAAUAAGGAUUUGAUAAUAUUAGGUUAUAAUUUUUAUAAAAUUUAAUUAAUUAAUAUCAAAAUAAAAAAAAAUAAUUGGAUACAAGUAUAUAUAUAUUCGUAAGUCAAUAAGGAUGAAACAAAAGUUUCAUACUUAUGAUAAUAAGUAUGGAUAUUUAUUUUGUAUAUACACUAUAUAUUUACAAAAUGCAAAUUACCAUUUGGUCUGUCUAACCUUCAAGCAAGCAAAAUAUAUUUUGGUUUCAAAAAUUGAACUCGAGAUCUACAUAAAAAAAAAAAAAAUUGAUGUAGGAAUAGUAACAAGGCAUUAUGGUCAAUAUUGUAUCCAAUCUUAAAAUAUAAAAUAUUUCUUAAAAACACAAAAUAAAGUAUAAAAAGAAUAGAAUCGACAUUAGAAAUAAAAUUAUACAAAAAUCAUUUCACACAUAUGUCAUGAUUUUAAUUAUAUCACUAACAAUUUUAUUUCUUUUUAUUAAUUACUGUGAAAUAUUUUUUAGCAUUUUAAUACCCAAAAAUUUAACCAUAAAUGAUACUAUUGGAUAAAAUGAUAUAUCAUAAAGCAUUAAAUCAUUUAUUAACGAAUCUAAUAAUAAAAUUAAAUAUUUAAUUUAAUUUAAGUUUUUAUUAAUAUAUAUUUAAAUUACUAAUAUAAAUUUGUAAUAUUAAAAAAAUUAAAUUAAAACUUUUAACUCUAGUUCACUAUAUAUAAUUUCCAGGGGAAUUUAAAAUUUCAUAUUAAAACCAUUAUUAAGUAUAAUUUAAAUUAAAAAACUAUUUGGAUUACAAGAAUUUAAAUCAACAUUUUAACAUUUCUUAUUUUAAAUAUUUUUAUUAUUUUUAAGUUAUCAUAGUUUUAAAAUAUUAAAAAUUUUGAACUAAAUAUAAACAAUCAAGUGUUAUUUUUCUUUGAUAUUUUUAUUAAUUCUAUAUUAUAAAAACUAUAUGAAACAAUACAAUUAUCCCUUGGAUGGAUUUAGUGUCAUUACCUCACUUUCCCCAUCGUGGUGGGCCCUGUAGUAGGGUUUCCCUUAGGCCCACCUUAAUGGGCUCAAUUUGAAUAUAUCGUAUAAGGCUUAUAUAAAAAUUGAAGAGAUUAAUUAUAUUUUAGAGGGAUGGAGUACAUUUACCUUUUACUAUUCAUGUUAUGUAAUUUAAGUAAUCACAUUAAUUUGGACAUACAAUCGCCUCUUUCUUUUAGAAAUUUCUAUGAGUUUCUUUACUAUAAAUAAAUAAAUAUAGGAGAAAAAUAUUGUGAAAAAUAGACUAUAACCCACAUUGAUUCCUUGAUUAUAAAUUUUAGGUGGAAAAAAGGUAUUCUUAGAAGAAGUAGAAAAAACUUGAGAGACUUUUCCAUUCAGAUUUCCCGAAGUAGUGAAAAAAAAAAGAGGUUUAGAAUAAGAAUUAUCCAAAUAAAUAAUUAGUAAACAAUAUCUAAUCUAAUAUAUGUUGACAUAAUAAUACUUUAUAUUUCCAAUAAUACGACAAAAUAUGUGUAUAAGGAUAAAAAUGUCUUUGUACAAAAUUUAAGUGUCAUUUUCUUCCCUUUCUUUUUCUCUUUUUCUUUCUUUCUUUUAAAUUUUUUAUUGUCCCUACUUCUCACAUAUACCUUAUAUUCUCAUUUAUUCUUCUCCUUUCUACCAUUUAAUGCAUGAAUAUUUGUAGGGAAAUGAUAUUGUACACGUUAGACCUAAAUAUCUCUUCAAAUAACAUUAUUAUAAUAUGUCAUCAUACAUAUCUCUAAAUUAACGUCUCAAAAAAAAUGAUGAAAAAUAGAAAAGCCCAUAAUUUAUUUUUAAUUGUGAUUCAUAUUUUUUUUUCAUACACAAGUCUUUUGGAAUAUGAUUUUUGAUUUAAAAAACUACUGUUUUUAGAAAAACAUAAGCACUAGAUUAUUACACGAUGUCCUAAUAUUGUCUACGGCUGGAGAUUGGUCGCCAGCUGAAGUUGUGAAACUUUGGCAUUUCCAUUUUCUAUUCCAUUGUUGUUGGUGUUGUUGGAUUUGGCUCUGAAAGUACCAAAAGAACCUUCCAUGUCUUCGAGUGUUUUACCCCGUGUCUCAGGAAGCACGGUGUAGAAGAAUAACCACCCAAUGGCAGCAAUGCCAAAAUACAGGAAGAAAGCUCCGCCAAUAGUGAUGGCUUUAGUCAGGGACAAAAAAGUCAUUGAAAUAACGCCACUUGUCGUUCUGUUCACCACCACACCUGCAGCCGCACCCUGCGCCCGCAACCUCAACGGAAAGAUCUCAGAGCUGUACACCCACGUGAUGGGUCCCGCACCGAUGGAAAACGUUGCCACGUAGGUUAACACCAUCGUUAUACUCAAUCCAAUGGCCCACAUCAGUUUACUCUUCGACUGAUCGAUGAUCGUAAGGCUGAUUGCCAGAGUCAGAAGCGAGAGCACCAUGCCCCCCACACUAGACAAUAACAGGGGACGACGACCCACCCGGUCCAACAUGAAAGUAGCAACCAAGAUGAAUAUCGUCUUCACGAAUCCAACGGCCACCGUUGCCAGAAGCUUUUGUGUGUCAUCGGUGAUCCCAGCCUUCUCGAAGAUUGUGGGGCUGUAUAAAACCACGGCGUCCACGCCCGACGCUUGUUGGAAGAAGUGAAUCCCCAGCGCCGCAAUUACGAUGUGACGAAUCGCAGGCGUUGGAUGGAGGAACAACUCUUUCCACACGCCCUCGCCGGUGCUUUGUUUCGUUACUUGAACGACGUCGUCGUUGCAACUCUCUGGUAUCCCUGCGGCUUGUUUGAUCUCGGCCAGCCUCAGUUGAGCUUCUUCCUUGCUGUCGGAGGUUUUGUUAAGCACUUUCGUUGCCUCUCCCAAACGUCCCCUCAUCACCAGCCACCGCGGAGAUUCCGGCAUCGCCAACACUCCCAAUGUCAGGAGAAUCGAGGGAAACACACCGACCCCAAGCAUCAUUCGCCAUCCCAACUUCAAUGACAACUUUGAAAAUGCAUAGUUGGAUAUGUAUCCGAGUAAUAUCCCACCAUUAAUA
rnacentral:lncRNA from 1 species